rnacentral:ncRNA from 1 species
UUGGCAAACCCGUCGAAAGGCGGUGGCGCAAAGCUAUGGUGUCUAAGUAGCUAAAACUAUACGAUCGACCGGCCGC